ACAUCCAGUCUCCAUGAAACGAUGAGAACAGCUGUCCUGAAAUGACAGAGCAAGAAACCUGCGCAGCAACAGCCUCAGAGAGGCCCCUUAAUAUACCUUCUCUACUAUGAAAAAUCAGAUUUUGUGAACAAUUUGGCAUGAGGAGAGAAAGGAACCUGAAGUUUUUAGCAAGGAAGGGCCCUGAUGAUGGUUGCCUUCAACAUUGCCUCAAUACUCAACAUCCAAGACAGCCCUGGCUUAGCAACUGGAAUCACGGAUGGGGAAAAUUUUUUCUCAAGCACAUGUGAAAUUUGGCUGUCAGACCACCUUCAUCUGCACAGAAAGCUAAAUGUAUUGCCUAGUUUUGCAACUUCAUAUGACUGUUCGCCAAACUGGAAUAAUUGUUGCAUUUGUGUGUGACUUCUCAGUAUUCCUAUGGCAUUACCACCAUAGCACCCCUAUGUCAAAUGGUGAAAGAAUUAGGUGAGGUUUUGUGAACGUUUAGAGUAACUUUGUUUUUUUGCAUCAACAUUCAAGAAGCACUCCUUCCCUUCCACUGCAGUAGAACCUUGAGGUCCCUCUCAGAUUUCUGUGGGGUGUCUGUGGUCUGCU
ensembl:lncRNA LINC00299 long intergenic non-protein coding RNA 299